AGGCCUGGAGAGAGAAGCAGGGUCUGAUCCAUAGCCUCUGUUUCAGCUGUUGAUCAGCACUUCCCUCUCUCUUUUUCUCCG
rfam:Myotis brandtii contig303048, whole genome shotgun sequence.